UAAAGCGAUUCAGCGGGUUACGAUUGACGGAGCGAAGCGACGUCAAAGCGUAUACAAAGUCGAGUCGGUUUAAGGAUACGUUCGUUGGGUAGGGGAGCGUUCUGUAAGCCCGUGAAGGUGGCCUGUGAGGGUUGCUGGAGGUAUCAGAAGUGCGAAUGCUGACAUAAGUAACGAUAAAGCGGGUGAAAAGCCCGCUCGCCGGAAGACCAAGGGUUCCUGUCCAACGUUAAUCGGGGCAGGGUGAGUCGACCCCUAAGGCGAGGCCGAAAGGCGUAGUCGAUGGGAAACGGGUUAAUAUUCCCGUACUUGGUGUUACUGCGAAGGGGGGACGGAGAAGGCUAUGUUGGCCGGGCGACGGUUGUCCCGGUUUAAGCGUGUAGGUGUGUGUUCCAGGUAAAUCCGGUUCACUUUAACACUGAGGCGUGAUGACGAGGCACUACGGUGCUGAAGCAACAAAUGCCCUGCUUCCAGGAAAAGCCUCUAAGCAUCAGGUAACAUCAAAUCGUACCCCAAACCGACACAGGUGGUCAGGUAGAGAAUACCAAGGCGCUUGAGAGAACUCGGGUGAAGGAACUAGGCAAAAUGGUGCCGUAACUUCGGGAGAAGGCACGCUGACACGUAGGUGAAGUGAUUUACUCACGGAGCUGAAGUCAGUCGAAGAUACCAGCUGGCUGCAACUGUUUAUUAAAAACACAGCACUGUGCAAACACGAAAGUGGACGUAUACGGUGUGACGCCUGCCCGGUGCCGGAAGGUUAAUUGAUGGGGUCAGCGCAAGCGAAGCUCCUGAUCGAAGCCCCGGUAAACGGCGGCCGUAACUAUAACGGUCCUAAGGUAGCGAAAUUCCUUGUCGGGUAAGUUCCGACCUGCACGAAUGGCGUAAUGAUGGCCAGGCUGUCUCCACCCGAGACUCAGUGAAAUUGAACUCGCUGUGAAGAUGCAGUGUACCCGCGGCAAGACGGAAAGACCCCGUGAACCUUUACUAUAGCUUGACACUGAACAUUGAGCCUUGAUGUGUAGGAUAGGUGGGAGGCUUUGAAGUGUGGACGCCAGUCUGCAUGGAGCCGACCUUGAAAUACCACCCUUUAAUGUUUGAUGUUCUAACGUGGACCCGUAAUCCGGGUUGCGGACAGUGUCUGGUGGGUAGUUUGACUGGGGCGGUCUCCUCCUAAAGAGUAACGGAGGAGCACGAAGGUUGGCUAAUCCUGGUCGGACAUCAGGAGGUUAGUGCAAUGGCAUAAGCCAGCUUGACUGCGAGCGUGACGGCGCGAGCAGGUGCGAAAGCAGGUCAUAGUGAUCCGGUGGUUCUGAAUGGAAGGGCCAUCGCUCAACGGAUAAAAGGUACUCCGGGGAUAACAGGCUGAUACCGCCCAAGAGUUCAUAUCGACGGCGGUGUUUGGCACCUCGAUGUCGGCUCAUCACAUCCUGGGGCUGAAGUAGGUCCCAAGGGUAUGGCUGUUCGCCAUUUAAAGUGGUACGCGAGCUGGGUUUAGAACGUCGUGAGACAGUUCGGUCCCUAUCUGCCGUGGGCGCUGGAGAACUGAGGGGGGCUGCUCCUAGUACGAGAGGACCGGAGUGGACGCAUCACUGGUGUUCGGGUUGUCAUGCCAAUGGCACUGCCCGGUAGCUAAAUGCGGAAGAGAUAAGUGCUGAAAGCAUCUAAGCACGAAACUUGCCCCGAGAUGAGUUCUC
rnacentral:rRNA from 1 species